rnacentral:lncRNA from 1 species
AUGUAGUAAUUUUGCCUGGAUGGUUUUGGAUAUAAUAGCCAAUUCAUCACUUGUGAUUUGAUGACUCUUAGGGUCUCUAGUUUUUCUUAACAGCCUCCAAAUUGAAGUUUCAGAAUCCUUACUGCAAAAAGCACAAAAGUUUUCAUUGCCAUUUUGAUAGUGAUAUGUAGCUCGUAAAUAAUAAUUCUUACCUCUGUGUUAGAUAAAACAUCCAGUAAAACAGCAUCAAGUUUAGCUUUGAUAGAAGGGAACAAUUAGAGUUGGUGUAGAGACAGACCAGUUAGGAUGAGGGCAUGAAAUACAGCAGAAGCAGUAGGAAGAGAAGAGAGACUGAGGAUCUUGAAUUAGGGUCUAGAUGAAAAUUUAGGAUGAUUCCUAGGUUUGGGAAUGGAGGGAGAGCUUAAACAAGAUAGAGAAUAUAGACACAGAUUUUGGAGGAAAUGAUUUUCUCAAGGGACUGCUGAGUCCAAGGAAUGUUUACAAAUCCUCAAGAAGUACUCCAGGCUAUUUGUAAGAUCUGAGGCUCAUAGGCCUUUUCUGGCUCUCAGGAUUUAGAGUCGUAAUAGGCAGUAAUGUAAAUUCACUAGCUAACUUUGAGGUUGCAACAUUCAUAGCACUCUGAACUUUGAGGGCAUCUUGUUUUAAUUCAAAAAACUGGUAAUCCCUGCUUUUGAUUGUGAUGUAAGUAGCAGUACACAAGCAUGGGAAUAAGUAAAUCCAAUAAAGGAGUAUUUAGGCUCACCUGCUAAAUACUCAGUGUGCCACCCAAACCAUCUGUAAUGGGUCCCCUUAUUGAAAACAUUCUUUUUCCAGAAUGGGCAAGGAAGGCUGGAUGGGCAAAAGCAAAAUAAAUGUACCACAGACCCUUGAUUCUGUUAGUAUCAGUGAUAAAACAUGAUUGAUAAAACUAGGCAUGAUACAUUCUUAAGGUACAGAAAAAUGUGGAAAUUGUGUCAAGAAAAUUCACAAAUUUUAAAUGGUUCUUUAGGCUGAUAGUAAUAAAUGGGAUCAUUAUAAUUUUAUGUAAAACCUUCAAAGGCUUCCUACUAAAGAAAGCUGAAUUCCAGUAACAGAUUGAGCCCAGACUACUCAGUUCAUAUUUGAGGCCAACUUAGACUAUUUUUGAUGCCUUAAAGAUUCCUUCAAGUCCCCUUUCUCUUUCUACCAUACCCCCAGUAAAGCUACUUAAAAUCCUCUGUAGGAAAGAGCUGAGUAAUUGGGGGCAGAGAUGGAGGACAAAUUUAAGGGAACAGAAAGCCAUUGGGAAGACAAAUGAAAGCCAGAAUCUGAAGAUAAUUUUAAAACCUUCAGGGAAAGUAGGUGUCUAAUCACAGGACUUAAUUCACUUGAGUAGAAAUUUGUAAUUUAGCCAUAGGAAUUUAGGAAGUGUUAGUUACAAGAGGUAACUUGAAGCUGUGGACAUGAUGAUAGCUUUUGUUGCAUAAUUAGAAUGUGCCAAACACUUUGCUAAGUGCUUAUGAUAGCUUUUCUCUUCAGAACAUCACCAUGAUUAUUUACAGUAUAACCUGUAUUUUACAGAUGGAGAAAUGUAGGCAAAGGAAAGGGGCAUAACUUGCCUCCAGGGUCACAUAGAUAGCAAAUGAUGAAAUUUAAUUUUAAAAUUAGAAACUGAUUCCAAAGUCCUUACACUCUUAACCAUGAAACUGAAGACAUCUAAGUCACCACGCAAAACCCAGAAUCUAAAUGGCCAUUUAUUAGUGCUUAUUCCUUUAUUUCCUAAUAUUAAUUAAAUGACUUAAUUACCAUGAGAAGAUAAUGUGCUUUCAGUUUUCGCAGUAGUUAGUUCAGCCAUUGAUUUUCUUACUAAGAACCUCUAAAAGGCCAAUGGGCAGUUGACAAAAAUUAGGGAUGGAUUCUGCAGCUGUAAGACCAAGUGAAAGUAAAAGGCCCAUGGCGGUAAAUUUGUCCCUUGCAGGCAGUUUGUUCUAAAUGCUUGUGCCUAGAAAUAAACUUAGCCUUAUUAUCAUCUGGACUCUGAGCAAUUUUUGCAUCUCAGUAUUCUUAGAUGUGGAUGAUUAAAAGGCCACGUAUGAAGGCAGCUAACAUAAGACACUUUGUGGGAGUGAGAUAAUUCAUUAAAAUCAAAUAUUAGUGUAUUAGGCAAACAAAUUCAAUCAUUUCAGUUAUGUAAAGCUAGCUGGGUUCUCAGUUUUAGCAAGUUAGGGAAGAUAUCACAUUACAGGAGAAAGACAAUCUAAAAGUUUUUGAAGUUUUAAUGGAUUUAACCACUUGUAAAAUGUUAUAAAUUGUAGGACACUUCUCCCAGAGAGAUCCUCUAGCAUACAUGGAUGAUUUACUUUUCAUAUUUAUGAUUUGGCAGGAAAGUUUGAGUUCAUUUGAAGUUAGGCUUUUUAAUAGUUUUUCUCCUCCCAGUGAAUUUUUCUGAGUUGAUAGGUGUAAAAUUUAUAGAUUUUAUUGAUAAUAAAAGUUUGUAAGCAUCUUUAAUGUAGCGAUUCCAUUGCUUAUUUUUUAUUCAGCACUCAGGUCACUUCCUAUGUGCUGGAGAUAAUUAAAGACUCCACUUCCAAGAAAGGAUACAACAAGGAAAAUAAGAGGUUGUUAAAUAAAAAUUAUGCCAAAGAUAAGCCUGUAGAAAGCUUCUGUGGUGCGUAUUUGGUAGAUUUUAUGGAUGGAUUUCGUGAAGGAUAAAUAGCAGAGUCCUGAGGGGGGAAAAAAGGAUAGAAGUGGCCAAAUACAAGAGAGGAAAUGGGAGAAAGAAUAGGAUAUGAAGAAGCCUGGCAUUGAGAGGUGGUAUUGGCCUGUUAAGAAAACUUGUUUGCCUAGCCCCUAAGUUCUAGUCUCACUCAGUAUUGGGUUUAGGGCUCCUCUAGAUUCUAGUACAUCAUGAUAGAUCAUGCAGUCAGUAAAAGUCCUGCUGAUUUUCCCCAGUAAAGUGCUUUAGUCCACACAAAGCCUGAUCUUUAAUCCAUGCCUAGAAUUGGCAAAUGAUGCCAGGAAAGAAAACAGUUGGUAGUCUCAGCUAUGUAGAAAAGACAAAGACUUUUAGUACAUCUAGUCUUAAGCGCUUCCACAGCUCUUUCGUAUCUGUAAUGUAUUUUGCAUUUGAUCCAUUUUUUCCUAGUUACUGCACCUGGGAGCGACUGCCAGUACUACCACAUCAUUUCGGUAGUGGAGGUCCCCAUUGAAGGUUUUUUUCAUAGCACAUAGCAUGAUCACGUCUAGGAAGAUCGUUCUGGCUGUAGAUAGUAUAAUUAUCUACUAAUACAAAGGGGGAAAGGACGUGAGAUGAUGUGAAAGGAAGUUUUGCAUCAUUUACUUGAAAGAUACUGUUCUUCUGAAUUUAAUCACAUUGGGGAUUGGAAAAAGUAGAUGAAUAAAAAUUAAAAAGAAAAAAACAAAUGAGUUCAUGAAGUUAAGCAAUUAAAGAAAAAGACAAAUCUAAUACAGUACUGUAAUUAUUUCAAAGGUUACUAUUUUACCCUAAACUCAUUUCUAUACUUGAAAGUUCAAGGAUCGAUUGAUAUUUUUGAAAUUCUGAACUAAAUGGAAAUAUUAAGAUGGCUCAUGUGUGCAUAUAUAAAUGUUAUUUGUAUCCUCAGAAUAAACUAAUAAAUUUCAAGGGUACAAAAUAGG